rnacentral:sRNA from 1 species
AAUUUGUUGCUGCAACUGUUGCUGCUGCUGCUGCUGCUGCUCUGUUGGCGUAGGAUUCGAGGGAUUUUGAUUUGCUGCUGCCGCAGCGGCGGCCGACGAGUCCAAGAGCAAUUGCUGCACCUGCAAUAU